rnacentral:rRNA from 1 species
CCUACGGGUGGCAGCAGUGAGGAAUAUUGGUCAAUGGACGAGAGUCUGAACCAGCCAAGUAGCGUGAAGGAUGACUGCCCUAUGGGUUGUAAACUUCUUUUAUAUGGGAAUAAAACGUUCCACGUGUGGGAUUUUGUAUGUACCAUAUGAAUAAGGUUCGGCUAACUCCGUGCCAGCAGCCGCGGUAAUACGGAGGAUCCGAGCGUUAUCCGGAUUUAUUGGGUUUAAAGGGAGCGUAGUUGGAUUGUUAAGACAAGGGUGAAAUCCCCGCGCUGAACGUGGGAACGGCCUUUGAGACUGGCUAACUAGAGUGUGUGAGAGGAUAGUGGAAUUCCAGGUGUAGGAGUGAAAUCCGUAGAUAUGUGGAGGAACAUCAGUGGCGAAGGCGACCACCUGGCACAUAACUGACGCUGAGGAGCGAAAGCGUGGGUAGCAAACAGGAUUAGAUACCCGAGUAGUC